CAAGAUGGCCGGACAGUCGCUGUUCUCAAUUGUGUUUACAUGGUUGGGGAGGGAGGAAAGUCCGGGCUCCACAGGACAGAGUGCCAGGUAACGCCUGGGGGGCGAAAGCCUACGGAAAGUGCCGCAGAGAGUAGACCGCCUAAAUCAGCUUUGCUGAUCGGUAAGGGUGAAAGGGUGCGGUAAGAGCGCACCGCAUCGCUGGUAACAGCGCAUGGCAGGGUAAACCCCACUCGGAGCAAGACCAAAUAGGUGUUCUUUGGCGUGGUCCGCGCUGAACACGGGUAGGUUGCUUGAGGUGUACGGCGACGUGCAUCCCAGAUGAAUGGCUGUCGAGGCUUCUUUGAAGCUGAACAGAACCCGGCUUACAGGCCAUCUUGCGGG
rnacentral:RNase_P_RNA from 2 species